rnacentral:lncRNA from 1 species
GGGGCUUUGACGCCUGAAGGCGCGGGAGCCGGGCGCCUGGGGGAAGGGGGUCCGGCGCCGUCACCUCCCACUCCUCGCCCGCGGGUCGGGGAGCCCCUGCCGCGGGGGAAGGAGGCUGUUUCCUUUGUAAACUGGCGGAGGCGCGCCUGGCCCCUGGGCCCGGCAACCCGAAGAGACACGCCCGAGACCUCCGGAGGGAGUUAACCCCCCGGGCCCCGGUGCCGGCCACCCCCAGGCGCGCAGGGUGGCCCUGAGCCGGGCGCGCGCCCGCUUGUCGCCCCGAGAGGCGCCGAGCCCAGUGGGGCGACCCAGUGUCCCGCCCCCCACGCGGCGAGGGCGACACUAGGCCGCUGCCCCCGGGCGCCCCGCGUCCCCUCCGCCUGCCCCGGCUUCCUGCGCGCGCCGCCCGGGACUUCCUCGCCGCAGUGCCCGGGGCCACCAGAGCCCAGCGCGGGGCGCUGCCGGGACACGCGGGCGGCCGACCCCAGGCGGGAGGAUCCGGGCCACCGGGGAGGGAGGG